ensembl:lncRNA
GUGGAGGUGAAGGGAUCUCACUGGAGAUCCCUGAAUGUUUGAGGCCUUCUGAAGAUCAGACUUCUGCAGACCUUCACAGAAUUAACAAUGGGCACAAAUUUGCUCACUGUGGAUGAUUUACCCUUGGGAAAUUCCUUUUCUUCAAGUGAACUUAAAGGACUUUUAAAGCCUUAGGAGCUCUUGUGCUUCGGUGUCUCAAAUCAGCCAUUUAAAUUAUACCAACAGAAUUAUACUAUUGAGAGGUUAGUAAGAUAUAACUACAAAGAUUAUCAGUUCUCUCCCAGCACUCUUUACUUGCCUGCCUGGGUUUUGGAUCUUUAUAACAAUCAUAGUUUAGAAGAAGCUGAAGACAAAGGAGUGAAGUAAUAAGCACUUGCUUACAACGGAGGACUCAGACCACUGUCCCUCCAGCCCUUUAUUUUAUGUACCUUCUAGGAAUUGAAGAACCAUCUCAAUUAAAGAAAGAUUCUUCUUGAUGAGAAGCAUAAAGACUAAAUCUAGAGUAGUACUUGCUAUUUUGCAGAAGGCAAUAACCAAGGCUAUAAUUGUUUUCCAAUGUGGCCCACAGUUCUCUGAAUAAGGAUGAAAUUCUCCUAGACAGAAUGCUGAAUGUUUUAUUCUUAGCUCCUGAGGCAAGUAGAGAAUAUACUUCACUGAUCUUCGUAAGUUCCCUGAAUUGAAUUUGACUCACGUUGAUUCUUCGUGUCUUAUUGGGAAGAAAGCAAAGGAAAUACAGGGGAAGACUAACACAGCAGAAAACAAGCUUUCCUUUCCUAUAAGAAGAUGAACUUUAUAUAUAUAUCAUUCUGUCAAACCUGGGAGCCUUCUGUGCUUUCAUGAGGAAGGUGAAGGAUUCAAAAUCCCAAUCAACUGUGCAGUAAGAAUCACAUUUUUUUCAUUAUGAGUAAUUAGCAAUCACCAUUGAUUUUUCUGUGUCAUGGGACAGAUUUGUCCCACAGUCAUCUAGAGACCAAGCCAGAUGAUUCUCAUGAAAAAGCUCUGCUCCUGCUGGCACCUAAGAUCUGUAGAAGACUCAGUGGGACAGUGAGAGCUGGUGGGUGAGGAACUCUUUGUUGAAGCCUUUAUUUAUUUAUUUUCUUCCUCUCUGCAACAGAAGAGAAAAUUGGGGUGUUGAGUGUUUGGUGGAAAGCAAAACAAAAACAUAACCAUGUCUCUGCCAGGCCUGGAUCCAGCCCUGUGACAGUCUGUUUUCCACUGGCUCUCAAAAUUUAUGUAAAGAACAAGGCAAAGAAUGUAACUGUUCCUUUGCAGCUUCUGCUCUGAAAAUGUUCUUAAUGAGUUCCCCUUUAUAACUCAUCUAAUUGUCCAUCCUGCCCUGGCACUCCCUGUGCCUUUGAGACACCAGAGAUCCCAAGCAUCUGAAGACAUAAAGCCAGAGUUAAAUGGCAUUUUACAUUCCAGGAAGCUCCCAGAGAGCCACCAAUUUCCCCUCACUCCGGGAGGCUUCAGAGAAUCCAAAGAACAGCCCCCACUUUUCUGGGGAACCAGAUCAAACCACAGCACCAAACAAGCAUAAAAUUGCCAAAUAUUUUCUUAUUGUCUUGGGAAAAAAAAAAAAAUAAUAAUAAAGACAUUUCUGGUUCUUAGUGAAUUUCACGUCUGUGAUGCCAAGGGGAAGGGAUACUUUGCUUCCAUUAAUAGCAAGGUACUGAGACACGAAAACUAGUGGAGUGUUUCAAAUCCCAACAGGAAGGGUGG